rnacentral:misc_RNA from 1 species
AAAUGCGAUAAGUAAUGUGAGUUGCAGAAUUCAGUGAAUCAUCGAAUCUUUGAACGGACCUUGCGCUCCUUGGUAUUCCUUGGAGCAUGCCUGUUUGAGUAUCAUGAAAUCUUCAAAGUAAAUCUUUUGUUAACUCAAUUGGUUUCUACUUUGGUAUUGGAGGUCUUUGCAGCUUCACACCUGCUCCUCUUUGUUCAUUAGCUGGAUCUCAGUGUUAUGCUUGGUUCCACUCGGCGUGAUAAGUUAUCUAUCGCUGAGGACACUGUAAAAGGUGGCCAAGGUAAAUGCAGAUGAACCGCUUCUAAUAGUCCAUUGACUUGGACAAUACUUUUAUGAUCUGAUCUCAAAUCAGGUAGGACUACCCGCUGAACUUAAGC